GCACGUUCACUUACACAUGCUACUUCUACUCCGGAAGUACGUAUCCACAUAUAUCCACUCAUUUCCAUCUCCAGAUUCACCCAAAAUUAUUCUACUCCUAAUCCGGGAGAGAAUAGCCAAAAACAUUAUCCUAUCCCUAUUAUUCCCUGUGACAUAAAUGCUCGAGUUAUCUUGGUUACUACCACUUGCUAUAUUAUUUAAGGAGAUGAGUGCUCUAAAAAAAAGAGGAUACGAGGAAAUAAAAAGGGGCAAGUGCCCGAAACCUCGAAGAAAAGAAAAAGUGAGACGAGAGGUAAAAAUGGACAAGUGUCCAACAGUAGAAUUAGGGGUACAAGAUACCCACCUGAGAGGAAAGAAAAAGAAAAUAUAGAGCAUCUCAUUAUCCUCAAAAAGCUUCAAAGUGCAAGAAAGGUAUGUAUCCCCUAAAAAGAGCAAAAGUAGAAUUAGACUUUCACCAUUGUUAUCACCAUCAUCACCAUACACCACUCACUCGCCACACAUGCACAUCUUGAUUUGACUUAUUGACUUAUUUCUCUGGAUCCAUAGUUUGACUAUGCAAUAAAUGUCUUGUAAGUAUGUAUUAGCUGUCUCCCACCUAUGAGCUCCAGAUAUCAAAACCUUAUUAGAGUAGGGUGAGAGAGAAGGCAAUAUUACUAUGCCUCAUACCACAAAUACUACAUACUUUAGGAGAAGGCAUAUACCGUCACUGCCUUGGUGAGGAUCCAGAAAUACCACAAAAGAGAGACUAGAGAGAGUCAUAUAAGGAAUCUCUGAGUUUUAUUUGAAAAUCAGCAAAAACUCCAGAGCUAUAGUUAAUCAAAGAACAAGAGACAUGGUGCUUGACUUGACCGUUCUAUCUUUUAACUGCUCAAGACACAAGUGACGGUUGCAAGCCCCAUGGUGAAAGGUAAAAUGAGUAAGUUUUAAGUCUUAACAGUUUACUCUAACUCAGAGAUGAGAUCUUACUUUUAAGGCAUGAAACCACUGCAGAAACUCUUGAGUUCAUCCUUGCUCAGGGACGAGCAAGAGGUAAGCUUGGGGGAGUUGUUGACGGUCCUUAAGUACCAAAAAUAAUCAUCAAAUAAAUAAAGAAAAGGAUCCAAAUGCAACCAACACACAGACUUAGGGUUUUAACUGACAGAAUUCCACGAGUUUUAGUGUUUGUCUAUUUCUUCAGGGGGUUAUCAGAAAAUAUGGAAGAAAGGCCCAUACGUCGGGUUUACAUAGAGAUAUUAAUAUGCCGUGCAAUUUUCUAUCAUCUAGAAGACUCUAGAAGCCACGGGAACGAACGGGAGGCCGAACGGGCCCGGGGGCAGGGCGCCCGCCCUCCCCCCUUGGGCGCCCGCCCUGGUACAAGCACCAAUCACAGAAUGGAGUACACCAUUACAAAGAUCUCGUCGAGCUGAUCGAAAUGCAUAUAUUAUUUGCUAUAUUUAGAGUUUGGAAUCAAGAGAUAUUAAUAAAAGAAGAACUCCACAUAAAAGAGCUGCGGGAUUAAUUGGGCCCAAAUUAGAUUUUGGUCCAUUAAGGCCUAUGUACAUUUUAAUGAGAUAUGGUGGAAAGUUUAGUACCACAUUGCCUGCUGAACCAAAAAGGCACAAAAGGAGGGGACUAUAUAAGCAGACCCCCUGGCCCCUGGAGGAGAACAAGUUUUUCAUAGAGUUGAGAGGAGCCCUCGAAGGAAUACCUCACCUCUAAAUAAAAUUUCUUUUUAGGCUUAGCAUCCCAUGUGAGUAGAAAUAGAUCUUCUAGUUUCUACUAGAUUGAGAGAGGUAGAGUGGAGGUGUAGAUCGGAGGAAGCCCGGCCUGUCGGUGUCUACUCCGAGGUUGUACCUGCGGGAUCAAGUCUCCUUACCCGAGGCUUGCUCCUAGGAUUCUUCAGUAAUUCGACUUCUAAUUCUAGUAAGUUCUUGCUUUAUUGUUCUUUGGUUUAUGAGUUUACUUUAAUCUCUUCCGGUUGAGUAUUAGAGUAAUCAUUGCUAGCGUAAACGUGGUGUUUAGGCUAGGGUACUCAUAGAUAUUCCCUGACUAGCUGGACCGUGGUAGUAGUGAGGAACGUGACAUUUCCGAGUUACCUUUGCAGACCAUAUCUCGUUAGCAGGACGGGUAGGUUUAUAGGUGCGGGUCGAACAUCAUUUGUGGUGUCUAGAUUCCGUAAGCUUCCCCAAUAGAACAGUAGAUCAUCCUUACCAAGGUUAGAACGAGACUACGGUUGCAGUCUUCUCUAUACAUCGCUCACAUCGAGAAACAUUCUUUGUAGCCUAAAGGGAUAGUAGCAAUAGAUUUGGUUAGUCAGAUGCACCCUUUCUCCCAGUGGUAAAAUAUAAAUAUGAUACUCUGGAAAACCUCCCGGGUGAAAUGCUUACCGAUAUCCGUUCGCUUGCGGAUCAUUUCCUUAUUGCGUUACCAAAUAUCAACACAUAGUUGUAGGGUUUGAAACUAAUGAGUUACAUGAGUUUUGGUGAAUCUAUGUGUUACAAGAGUUAAACUAGAAAAGGACUAGAAUCACCAAAUAGAAGUAUCUCAAGUGAUGAAUUAGAGUAUACCAUUGUGAAGAGCUCAUCGAGACACAUGAAAUAGAGCUUUGAUUCACCCAAAUCGGGGUCUAGACAACCAAGUUACGCCUUCUGGAAGAUUGCAAAUGGGCUUCCAGAAUAGUUUGGAGUAAAUUGGGCAUAUCUCCCUCAUCCGGACUUUGUUUUCAGUGAUCUAGGACUUUUCAAAAGUUAACAAAGAGAUCUAUUGACCCAACAAAUGAGGAGCCCAAUUAGCAUUAAGCUAGGCUGGCCAGCCCCACAUGUAAAGCCGACCGGCCUACCCCCAAGCCCUCUCACGCUGUGCUUUUCCAGGACUCUUCCGCCGCCUCCAAGGAUGUAUAUCCACCCUACAUAAAUGUUGUUUGAUCCGAGGGCUAUGAUUCAUCCCACCAGACUAUAUAAGCAAAGGCAGACCCCCCUUAGAGGCAUCUCUUGAUCUCCAUCUUCAUUAGCUACCUCCAGAGCAAAAGCUAGGGUUUGAACCCUCCAACAAAGUAGAAGUAGAGAUCCCUCUAAAUGAAUCUCUUCAAGUUUAUCUAGAUCUAGUUCUAGUUCCUCUAGUUCUAGUUCUUCUAGUUUUCUAGUUCAUCUAGUUGUAAACUAGAGAUCAGGGAGAGAGGAGAGGAGAAAGCUGAGAAAGAGCUAGAUCUAUCAAAUCUUCCUCGACAUUGUACUUUUACAGCAUCUAGUUCUUCUUGAGCAAUCUCUAGAUUCUUCAUCAUUUAUUUCUAAGUAGUUAUUUGAUUUUAGUUCUAGCUUUAUUAUAUUUACUAGACCUCUGCUCAUAUUGAGUGCUUUAGUUAUCCUAGGUAAUUAGAGUAGUAAGCGCUAGUGUAGACGUGGCGUCUAGACUAGGGUUUACCUGAGUUUGCGCCCUGUUGGGUAUUUUAAACGCACAUAGAAAAAUCCGCAAGCACACAUAUAUUGAUGUAGCUUUCACCUGGGAGUAUACUAGAGUAUCAAUUUCCACGGGGAACGUGAAGCGUACUAGAGAAUCGAGGUUGUUCAAGGAUAAAGAUAAGAGAAGAGAUAUAUAUAUAUAUAUAUAUAUAUAUAUAUAUAUAUAUAUAUAUAUAUAUAUAUAUAUGGUGGGUAGAGAGGAACCUUCUAGAAUUUUCUAAAUUGAUUGGGUGAUCAAGAUCAGGCUUACUAUACUAUACUUACUAUGGAGCAGCAGGUCCUUUCCAACUCUCGAAGAAGACUGGGAAGAAAGUAGUCGGGAGAAUGCUGCCGAAAGCUCUACGAAACACCAACCCAAACAUGGUGGAAUACAAAGGCUUGACAUGGCUAUCACCUCUAGGCCACAACUAUCAAUGAGAUUAGGAGCAAACUCAGGUAAACCAUAGCCUAGACACCACGUCUACACUAGCGUUUACUACUCGAAUUAUCUAGAAUAACUAGAGCACUCAAUACGAACGAAGAUCAAGUAAGUAUAAUGAAGUAAGAAUAAAAUAAAGAACUGAACUUAGAAAUAAUAAUUAAAGAACCUAGAGGUUGGUGAGCGACGAACCAGAUGCUGGAAAAGUACAAUGUUGACGAAGAUCCGACAGAUCUGGCUCCUCAUUAGCUCUCUCCUCCUCUCUCCCUAUUUUCUAGAUACAACUAGACAACUAAAACUAUAACUAGAUGAACUAGAACUAGAACUAGAUGAACUAGAGGGACCUCUAUUUCUCUACUAGAUGAAACCCUAAUUUCUAUUGUAGAUGUUGCUAAUGAAGGAGAUGCCUCUACGGGGGUUCAGGGUCAUAUUUAUAGCCCGUAGGAAGCACCAUAGCCCUUAGAUCAAACCGACUUAAACAUACGCUUAGGGUACUAUGUUUAAAGGUCGUGGUAUUCUCUCUAUGUAAACCUGACAUGUGGACCAUCUUUAGUUAUUUUUAGCUGACACCCUGCAGAAAUAGACAUUCACCAAAACUUGUGGAAUUCUAUUAGUGAUAACCCCUAUAGCUAGAUAAUACUAUGAUUUUAGUCCUUUCUCAUGCUAUGUUGAUGGUUAAAAAGAGUACUUAUCUACCAUCAACAAACUCCCCCAAGCUUACCUUUUGCUCGUCCUUGAGCAAAGAUAGAAUUAGUAAUGGAUGAGGAGUUCCUACAAUGCUUUCACGCCUCACAAGUACACAUGCGUUCAUACAAGGUCUCUCCUCCGAAUUAGAGUGAACUAUUCUAACUCAAGGCUCACCCAUAUUACCUUUCACCAUGGGGCUUAUAGCUAUCACUUAGAUCUUGAGCAGUUGAAAGACAAAAUGGUUAAGUCAAGCGCUAUGUUACUCACUCUUUGAUCAAUUAUUGUUUUGGAGUUUUGUAAGUGUUGACACCUUUUUUGGACAUGUAUCUUUUGAUACGCACUUGGAGUUAAUGGGAUGUAGAUCGGCAGGUGGAUCAAUGGUGACUAGUCUACAGGGGAGUUGCCGAUGAAGGUGGUUGCCGAUGAAGAAACAACCGAAUAUGACCAAGUCCAGAAGUGGUGGCAUAUUCGUGCUGAUGACCAGUGCCGGUGUUUGCUGAUGGCUGCAACAGGUAGUCUGCUGAUGACUAUGAAGAAAAGCGCGGAGGUUGCCGAUUGAUUCGUGGCAGUGUCCCGAUCGGUUACGGGGGAUAGUUUAAUGUUUUCCUUAGUUAUUAGGAUUCGUUCUGUUUACGGGUUCCGUUUAAUUUGGAAUUCUAGUCCUAGACGUGUCUGGUUGUAGCUCUUUGGACAGGGUAUAAAUGUAGACCCUAGGGCAAUGUAAUGAACAAUCUAUCUAUCAAUCAAUCAAACACAAGUUUUUACUCAUAUUCCAACAUCUACUUUUUUCGACGACUUUGUCAUAUUUUCUUUUUACUACGAGUUCUUAUGAAUUCAUCGAGUCAAACUCGGCGUGUUCUCAAGUUCCGCGUGAGCACCUCUUGGCCGUGACAUCCAGGCACAUCGCUGUUGUCGGGACCAAAGUGUUCGAGUUACCACCUUUGUCGAUUGUAAGGUCAAAUCGGCUGGCACGGCUUAACGUUUAAAUCGGGUAUUAGCCCUUUGUGUUUGCAGAUCAGCUUUUGCACCAACACAUCUUUUGGCACGCCCAGUGGAACCUAUUCAAGAUCAAGAUCAACAUGUCGAACACCGAUUUCGACUUGGAGAACGUUAUCCCCGUGAUGGAAGCCAAUCUCAGAGAUGAGCAGAAGCAAGCUAUUGCAAAAGCUAUGGAGGACUACAAGCAGCAAUGCUUGAAAUCCUUCAGUAUCAACAGGAGCGGCGAGGUGAUCCAAAAGGAAGCAUUACCGGCACCUCGGUAGAUUACUUUUGAAGCCAAUCUUGGUAAACUUCAAGACAUGGUUGACAGUGCUAUUAACCGGGCCUUAAUCAAUCGAGCUGGUGUGCUGUCCAACACGGUUUUCAAUGCUGUGGCUAGAACUUUCAAGGAAGGACAAGUGCCACCAACUUAUGUGGGUCCUGCCUAUCAUCAGCCAGGGUCACCAGUGGUCACAGCUCCAUCGGCUACUACAGCCAUUGCGGGUACAGAAGCUACUUCUCCUCCAAGCACAUUAGGGAUCACUAAUGCGUAAUCUACACCGAUGACAACCAAUCCAUCAAUGUCAGAUGGACAAAUCAAGCUUGCCACAGAUCUAUUGGCAUCAGCAAUGUCAGGAUCUGUUCCUCCCAACUGGUGGGGUUAUGGUAUGCCCCCAGAGAUGAUGGUGAAAACUCCUGGAACAUCUCAAGUGGCUGAUAUGACAGGCAAGGCUCCUAUGGCAUCGGCACCUCCAAAUCCGCCGAUGAAUCAGAGUCCCCAUUAUACUACAACUACUACUGCGGGACCUUACACUGGGAAUUCUCAGGCUCCAACGUUCCAGAUGCCUAAUGCAUCGGUAGAUCCAAUGCCGACGCAGCAGAGGUUUAUGACACAACCAGGGUAUAUCAAUUCAAUGAUGAUGCCCAAUUACCAGUCAUCGGCAGGGCCUAUGCCGAUGGAUGCUAACAGUGGAUGGACUGGGCGGUUUGUCUUUCCACAGAUACCUUAGUAGAAUCAUUAGGCGGUAGGGUUUCAACAAGGAUAAAUCCAACCUGGGUUUCAGAAUCAAGGGUUGGUCAACCAGUCAAUGAAUCUUGGUCAGCAGAUUGGUGGUCAGAUGGUUAACCCGAUGUUCCAUGCAGAUCGUGCACCUCAGAGACACGUGGAAGCUUAUCAGCAGGUGCCAGAUCCACAAUUACCUCAUCGGCAAGAUGCCGAUGCUUAUUGGGGCGAUAAGAUAGCUGAAGUAGUGAGAGACCAAUUUGGGAUAAAGCCCAAAGUCAACACUUACUCUUAUCGGACACCGUAUCCUCCCGCAUAUGACCUGAUUCCGCUUCCAAAUCGGUACAAGGUACCCGAUUUCACUAAGUUUUCUAGACAUGAUGAUACAUCGACCAUGGAGCACAUUAACAGGUUCAUCAUCUAGUGUGGGGAAGCUGCUAAUAGAGACGAGUUAAGGGUUCGCUUGUUCUCGUCAUCUUUGUCUAGAUCGGCUUUCACUUGGUUUAUAUCAUUACCUCCCAAAUCAGUGAUCACUUGGGCCGAUCUAGAAAAACAAUUCCAUAAAUAUUUCUUUUCUGGAGUCCAUGAGAAGAAGAUCACCGAUUUGGUCAGACUGAACCAACGCAAUGAUGAAUUAGUUGAAAUCUUUGUGCAGAGGUUGCGAGAAGUUAAGAAUAAGUGCUAUAGUCUGGUUUUGGAUGAUCGGCAGCUAGCCGAUUUGGCUUUCCAGGGAUUAUUGCCGCAUAUCAAAGACAAGUAUGCUUCUCAAGAGUUCGAAAGUCUAAGUCAUUUGGUACAGAGGAUUUCUUACCAAUAUAUUAAACCUUUUGAGCCCAAGAGAUCAUGGAAUAAAAAGGUGUCAUUUGUCGAUGAGGCAGCAAGCUCAGACUCUGAUGAAGAGCCAGUCAUCGGCUUGGCAGAGUGGGUGAAAAAUAAGAAGCCGAUGUCUUGCCCUUUUGGGCAUAAAGAACCAGAAAAGUUUGCAUUUGAUAUCACCAAAGCCAAUAGGAUAUUUGACUUUCUACUUCGUGAAGGGCAAAUCAAGUUGUCACCCAAUCAUGUGAUUCCAUCAACUGAGGAAUUAAAGAAGAUGAAAUAUUGCAAGUGGCACAAUGCAACGUCUCACAGCACAAAUAAGUGCAAGGUUUUUAGGCAACAACUGCAAUCAGCUAUAGAGUCUGAGAGGAUUAAGUUCGAUAAUUCCAAAGCUCAGAAGCCGAUGAAGAUCGAUCAACAUCCUUUCCCAACAAAUAUGUUGGAUGCUAAGGGAAAAACCAAGGUCUUGACGUCAGAAGCAGCUGAAAGAAGUGCAUCGGUGGAUCCUCAGCAUCAGAUUACUGCUGCCGAUGCCAAAGGAAAAGGUUUGAUCCAGGAAGGAAAUAGCUCAGGAAGGCCUCCCCGAUCUGGCAUUGUGAUAACUCAUGAAGGCAUCAGGAGACUUGGCAGCAACGCGAAGAUCAGUAUCGGCGUCAACAAAAAGAUUAUCGUCGGGAAGAAGAAAUGCGCCGACAGGAGUGGAAUCGACAUAAAGAUCACUAGAACUGCCCAUUCUUUAUCCAUUGUUGGGAGCAAAACAUUAAAUUGCCCACUGUUAGAGAUUGCCCUGAAUGCAAUGGUUAUGAUCGGUAUGAUAGACCUAUUCGGCAGUAUCAGAAUGAUGAUCGACGAUUCAAUGGGCCGAUUAGGGGAAGAGCUUCAGUUCAUGAUUGGCUUGGGGGUAGACUCAGUGUGCACGAUAGACUUGGUGACCGUGUUGGGUACUUUCCCAAAAACCAAGAGGAACUUGAGGAGAUGGCAGAUGCACGAGUUCCCAAUGAGUUCAUAUUCUGCAGGGAUGCUAAUACUUAUCGAGUGGAGUUGAGGGAAAACCGUCGUCCAUCGGUAAGACAGCCGCAAUGGUGUCUAGAGGGAUUGACUAGAACGCAGAAAAGAAGGUUGCAGCAUGAGAGACGAGAAGAUUUGAGCAAGGGAGAGAAUUCUGGCAAAUCUGGAGAUCAGCAGCAACCGGAUCCUAAGGGAAAAGGGCCAUCGACAGAUGUUAACAUGGUAUUUAUGUUGCCGAUGGAGUUCCUUUCGCCGUCCAGUGAUGAUGGGGAGCUGGAUUUUUCCAACCAGGUAGCUCAGUUGGCUCUGGAUCCGAUGACGGCUAUCUUUGAAAAACAUGCCGACAAUGAAAGGCAGCAUCUUAAAGCUUUGUUCGUCAAAGGAAGAGUCGAUGGACAACCGAUGACCAAAAUAUUAGUGCUAUCAAUAUUAUGCCCUAUGCAGUCUAUCAAAAGCUUGGGAAAGGAGAUCAAGAUUUGACCAAGACCAAUAUGAUGCUAAAAGACUUUGAAGGGAAUGUGUCUCCGGUUAAGGGAGCGAUAUGUGUCGAGUUGACCAUCGGCAGCAAAACCUUGCCGACAACUUUCUUCGUGAUCAGUGGAAAGGGUGCUUAUAAUUUGUUACUAGGGAGAGAUUGGAUCCAUGCCAAUUGUUGCAUCCCAUCAACAAUGCACCAAUGCUUGGUUCAGUGGCUAGGUGACAAGAUCGAAAUUGUCCCAGGAGAUUCUUCUUAUGUCAUUUCAUCGGCAGAAGCGGAUACUUAUGAAAGGACCAGGUGCAUCUCAGGAGAGAUCUGGGAGAAGGAUUUCCUCAAAGUUGCCGAUUAUGAAAUUCCACUGAUCCAAGCAGUCGGUUCUGAUGAGGAGUUUUAAUGGAUAGGUUCACCGAUCAUGGAAAGUUAGGUCAGGGGUUUACAUCGGUUGAUGAUUUAGUAGAGGUAGAUAUAGGUAAUGGUGAUAAACCAAGACCUACUUUUAUUAGUGCUAAGUUAAAUUCUGAGUGUAAGCAACAGUUAACUGAUUUGUUAAAGGAAUAUAAAGAUUGCUUUGCUUGGGAUUAUACUGAGAUGCCUGGUUUAGACCGAUCGAUUGUUGAACAUCGGUUGCCUAUCAAGUCUGGAUUUCGACCACAUCAGCAGCCAGCUCACCGAUGUAAUCCUAAUAUUCUUCCUGAUAUUAAGGCCGAAAUAACUAAACUUAUUGAAGCUAAAUUUAUUCGGCAGUGUCGGUAUGCCGAAUGGAUUUCCAAUGUUGUUCCAAUUUACAAGAAAAAUGGGAAGCUUCGAGUCUGCAUUGAUUUUAGAAAUCUUAACAAGGCUACGCCGAUGGAUGGCUACCCAAUGCCGGUUGCCGAUUUGCUAGUCGAUGCUGUGGCUGGACAUCGGAUUAUAAGCUUCAUGGAUGGAAAUGCAGGGUAUAAUCAGAUAUUCAUGGCUGAAGAAGAUAUUCCAAAGACCGCAUUUAGAUGUCCUGGUCAUGUUGGGUUAUUUGAAUGGAUAGUCAUGACCUUUGGCUUGAAAAAUGCUGGUGCUACUUAUCAGAGGGCUAUGAAUUUUAUCUUUCAUGAAUUCAUCGGCAAGCUGGUAGAAAUUUAUAUUGAUGAUGUGGUGGUUAAGUCUGGAGAUUUCAUGAAGCAUCUUGCCGAUUUGCGAAAGGUGUUGGAAUGCACAAGGAAACAUGGUUUAAAAAUGAAUCCUAAUAAGUGUGCAUUUGGUGUGUCGGCAAGGCAAUUUCAUGGUUUCAUGGUACAUCAGAGAGGAAUUGAAAUUAGUAGACGAUCUAUUGAUGCUAUCAACAAGAUAGUUGCUCCUACUAACAAAACUGAACUCUAGUCUUUGAUCAGCAAGGUGAAUUUUAUCAGACGGUUUAUAUCUAAUUUGUCUGGUAAAAUUCGUGCUUUCAGUGCUUUACUCAAAUUGAAAACCGAUCAAGAGUUUGUAUGGGGAGAAGAGCAAUAGUUGGCCUUGGAUGAAAUCAAGAAUUAUUUGACAAAUCCUCUAGUUUUAAUUCCACCUCAGCAAGGAAAGCCCUUCAGAUUAUAUUUAUCUACCGAUGGGUUGGUCAUCUGUUCGGCUUUGAUUCAAGAAUUUGAAGGGAAGGAGCGUGUGAUUUACUAUUUAAGUAGAAGAUUGAUUGAUGCUGAGACCAGGUAUUCGGCCAUUGAAAAAUUGUGUUUAUGCUUAUACUUUUCUUGCAUUAAGUUGAGGCACUAUUUGCUAUCGGCCGAAUGCACUGUUAUAUGCAAAGAUGAUGUGGUCCGAUAUAUGCUAUCUAUGCCGAUUAUGAGUGGUAGAAUCGGUAAGUGGAUUUUGGCACUGUCGGAAUUUGAUCUACGUUAUGAAUCGGCUAAAGCGGUUAAAGGGCAGAUUAUGGCCGAUCUUGUGACUCAAUAUCACGGUAUAGUGGAGACUUUGGAAAUUGUGCCUUGGACGCUCUUCUUUGAUGGAUCCACGUGUGACCGGGGGCAGGAAUCGACAUAGUGUUAAUUUCCCCUCAGGGAAGGAAGUAUGAGUUCUCUUUGACGAUUGUUGCUACGUCAACGAAUAAUCAAGCCGAGUAUCAAGCUUUGAUCAAGGGGUUGGAAUUGUUAAAAGAAGUUCAUGCUGAUGCUGUUGAAAUCUUCAGGGAUUCUAUGCUGGUUAUAAAUCAAUUGGCUGGAAGUUAUGAGUGCCGAAACGAAGUCCUGAUAACUUAUUACGAAAAAAGUAUACAACUAUUAAGGGAAUUCAAAGAUUUCCAAUUAGAGCAUAUUCCUUAGUUGCAUAAUGAGGAGGCUAAUCGGUUAGCUCAGCAUGCCUCGGGAUAUCAACCCAUAUUAAACUCAUUAUCGGCGAUCAGUGUCGACGAUUGGAGAAAAGAGAUUAUUGAUUAUUUAAAGAAUCCAUCUAAGAAGGUUGAGAGGCGUAUCCGGUUUCAAGCUACCAAAUAUGUGCUCCUCGAGGAUAAGCUUUAUUAUCGAACAAUAGAUGGGGUUCUUCUCAGAUGCGUAGGCGACGAUGAAGCUAGAAGUUUGAUGGGAGAAAUCUAUGAAGGAGUGUGUGGAGCACAUCAGUUGGCUUUUAAGAUGAAAUGGAUGAUCAGGAGAAAUGGGUAUUAUUGGCCUACUAUACUCGAGGAUUGCUUUAAAUAUUUCAAAGGGUGUCAAGGAUGUCAGAAAUUUGGCAAUAUUCAAAGGGUGCCCGCAUCGGCCAUGAAUCCCAUUAUUAAACCUUGGCCGUUCUGGGGAUGAGCUAUUGACCUAAUCAGCCAGAUUUACCCACCAUCAAGUAAAGGGCAUAAAUUCAUCUUAGUCGCCACUGAUUAUUUCAUUAAGUGGGUUGAGGCUAUUCCUUUGAAGAAAGUCACAUCGGCCAAUAUGAUUGAUUUUGUGAAAGAACAUAUUGUUUACCGAUUUGGUAUUUCUCAAACAAUUACUACCGAUCAGGGUACUAUGUUUACAUCGGGAGAGUUUGAUGAGUUUGCAAUCGGUAUGGGGAUUAAAGUGUUGAAUUCUUCUCCUUAUUAUGCUCAAGCCAACGUGCAGGCCGAGGCAUCUAACAAAGGAAUUAUUAAACUUAUCAAACGAAAGAUUGAGGAAAAUCCUAGGAGGUGGCAUACAUUGUUGAAUGAAGCUUUAUGGUCAUAUCGGAUGGCUUGUCAUUGGUCGACCAAAGUUUCACCUUAUCAGUUGGUGUAUGGGCACGAUGAGUACUACCAUUGGAAAUUAAGGCUGGGUCUAGGCGAUUAUCUUUCCAGGAUCAGUUGACUGCCGAUGACUAUGCUACUUUGAUGAAAGAUGAGUUAGAUGAUUUAGCAGGGCAUCGGCUCAAAGCUUUGGUAAGUAUAGAAGAAAAUAAAAAGAGAGUUGCCAGGUGGUAUGAUAAAAAGGUAAAGGCUAAGGAGUUUGCCGAUGGAGAUUUGGUAUGGAAACUGAUAUUACCGAUUGGGACUAAAAGUUCAAAGUUCGGCAAGUGGUCUCCCAAUUGGGAAGGUCCUUAUCGGAUAAAUCGAUCUGCUCCUGGUAAUGCCUAUAUUUUGGAAACUCUCGAAGGAGUUGAAUUUCCCAGAGCAUUGAAUGUAAAAUAUUUAAAGAAGUAUUACCCGAGCAUAUGGGUCGAUGCAUAAAAGUUUAAGUGCCGAUAACACUCCUAUCGGCUAGAUUGAGAUGUAUCUGAGACUGAAUACGAUGUUUCAAAAGAUGCCGAUAACAGUCCUAUCGGCUAGACCAAAACAAUCAGCAGUUUUUGAAGAAAGAGUGAAACACGUCGCCGAUGAAGAGUUCAUACAUUCAGCAGGGCUUGGAUGGCUGAUAUAGCGCGCAGAUGGAUUUGAUCAGCUUCUUCUAUCUCCUUGAUAUCUUCAUCGGCAGAGCCUUCCACCGGUUUCAGUUUCUUCUUCAUUUACAGUGCUUUGCGAGCUUGGACGUUUCACUCUUGUUCGAGGGUCUUGAUCGUUUCGGGCAGUUGACUUUCUUCCUGUUGAGCUUGGGACAGAGCUUCUUCUACUUGCUUAAGCUCUGCCAACAAGGCUUCCCUUUUUGCCGAUAGAUUGGAGAUCUUUUGUUUCAGCGUGUCUCUGGAGGAUUUUAGAAUGCCGAUGCUCUUAUGCUUCUCAUCAGCAAGAUGCUUCACUUUCAUUACCUCCUCUGAGAGCUGGGCAUGAGUGGCUCUAUCGGCAAGGCGUUGGGUAGCUUUUUGAUACUGAAGCUGGCGGCUCUCUAAGUGCGCAGCCUAAAAAAGAGUCUCCUCGGCAUCAGCAGGGAUUUGGCCUCUGAGAGCCUUAAACAGAGCCUUAGCUGGAUCAGAGUCAUCAACCAGUUGAGCCGUAUCCUGAUGAAGCAAGGCCAGCAGAUCUUCCAUCUUUGCUCUGAUUUCUGCUGAUGAAAUCCCAACUACUUGAGAAGAGCUUGCUUCCUCGCCUUCAUCAUCAGAAAUUUCGAUGGCAAAGGAGAACAAGCUGUCGGGAGAGUCCUGUUCCUGAAAAGAAGAUAAAAUAAGUUAUUUGAUGAUCAAGCACUAGUGAUGAUAAAAAUAAAGAUCAGGUAACUUACUUGUUUUAGGGCAGUUUCUCGUCUCUGGCUAGCAGAAGCUGAUGGUACUAAAGGAUGACUGGCUGGAGUUGCCGAUGGAAUAAUGCCAGCUGAAAGAUAUAUGAUAAUGAGUUACAAGUUAGAAAAAGAAAAAUCCAUCGGAAAAUAAUCUUGUGAAUGGGACCUUACCUUGAGGGGGUGCAGUGCUUGUCUGGAUUGAAGAGACUACCGAUGAUAUGAUUGAUCUCACUGGAUCGGCGGUCUGUUCAUGUACGUCGGCUGAUGUCUCUUCUGGCUGAGGUUCUUCUUGUGACUGAGGAGGAGACGGUACUUGUUGUGUCUAAGCCUUUGGUGAAGAAGGGGACGAUUCCACAUGAAUCGGUGACCCUAGAGGAGGGGGAGGUGGUGUCGCUAUUUUCUGACGCUUUGCAUGUGACUUAGUACUCUUGGAGCCCUUUCUCUUAGCUUGACUGGACUGGGGGGCAUCGGGACUUGUCUUGGUACUUCUAGUCUUUACUGAUUUGCUAGAUUGCUAAUACAAUAACAAAAGUUUCGUAAGUACAAGCGUGAUAGAGAGUUGAUGAAAUUCUGGUUGAAAUAGUAAAAAUUACCAAUGAGGUUCCCAUAGCAGCCGAUGUGUCCUAAAAGAAUUAUGUAAGUAUGGAAUGGAAUCGGUAUAAGUUGAAGAAGUCAAGAAUUUACCUUGAAAGCUUGUGCCAAAGCAGUAGCAGCUACCGAUGGGGAUGUCUUCGCUUGUCUGGUGGUAAUUUUCUUGAAACGCACGCCCCGGUGCAUUAAAACCGCCAAGCUUGGCGCGUUGUUACCGAUCAGAGAGAUCGGGCCUGAUGGAAGGAGUUCGAUCGGCCUUCCGCUUCUGCUGACUGUCGGUGGUGUAUCAUCGACCUGAUUAAAGAGAGAGGAAGUAAGUUACCGAUAAAAAUAAAAGUAAUAUAAGAAGAUUAAAGCAUCGGUUGAAAACUUACAGUGUUCUCGGGAAUUUUGUACUUGGGGUCGAUCAUGCCGCGGUAUGUGAGGGCCGAUCUGCAGAACAGGUGUUCUUUCCACUCUUCCCACCACUACUUGUAUGCCUGGGUAAAGAAGAGGGCCGGGAUCUAAGCCGAUAGAUCAACGUCUGUAUCGGCAUUUGGUGGAAGUUGAGCUAUUCUUAUCCACUCGAGACCGCUGGCUAUGGUUUCCCUUGGUUUCACCACAUCAGCAUAGCAGAGUGCAAUCGGCAGCUGUCCAAAGGCUAGUUGGCGAGCUAGUGCCGAUGGGUUAUAGUAUGUCAGAUUGGAGGCUUUCCCGCUACCAAAGAAGUUCACUGGUAUGGCUCUCGGAGUGAUGAUUGCCAUCAUCAGAUCAUGGUCCUCGUUGAGAGCAUUGUCAAAGGGGUGGAAAGUGAGCGGGAAUCUGGUUUCUGGAUCCUCAUAAGGCAUCCAUGCCCACUGGUCUUUGGCCAGACCCUCAUAGAGAGUUUGAAAGAAUCGGCUGACCUGAUCCUCAUUGCCACCGGUACCAGGUAGAACUAUGGCAGCUUCACCAUAGUUCAAAGGAGAGCGAGUUGCCAAUUCUUCUUCAUCCAACUCAUGAUCUUUGGCUAUGUCUCUUGGAAAACGCUGUCCAAAGAGGAUGAAUCCAAGGCGUUUAUGCAUAUGGACACUGAGCCAUAUGUUGACAAACCACCAAGGUCCCCCUAAGUUGCCGAUGGGUUGGCCUAGCAGGAGUUUCUUAGCUACCUAGUGGAGAAGGUGAUAAACAGAGCCGAGCAAGUAUCGGCCAAGAGGAAAUCGGCCACCAUUGGCCAAUCUCUCUACUGCAGAUAGGUAGACAGAGGUUGGUCCUGCUGAUCGGCCAUAGAAUACAAACUUGUCUAGCCACAUGUUCAAGAAAAUAGCCUGCUCUCUUUCCCCGAUAGGUCCUGUUUUUCAAUACUUCUGAAUAUACCCAGACCAACCGCCGAUGGCACGAGUCUCUACCUUAGAACUGGGCUUGGUGUCAAACAAAUGACUAUUAUCGACAGUUGAUAUGUCUAAGCCAGUGAGCAUGAGUACAUCGACAAGAGUAGGCGAAGCAGGGCCAUGACCAAAUACAAAAGCAUUGAGUAUGUCUGACCAAAAGUACGAGGCAGCUAUCAGUAGUGACUCGUUCCUCUCUAUAUCGGCAAUAGAUAAUCUGAUGCACUGAUCCAAUUUCCGCUCACCCCAUCGGACUUCAUUUGAAUGGCUGACUCUCAGGAACCAGUCUUUCCAUCCCUUGGUAGGAUUGGGCCAGGAACGAAAAGCAUCUUUCCACAGAUCUAAAGAGAAGUUUUCGGCUCUGAAGGGGAUUCUAUUUGUCUCUGCAUUUAUCAGAUCAGUGGGAUCGGGAUUUCCUAACAGGCCGAGACAUUGGAAGUGAGGUUGAUCGGUAGGGAUUACGAUCUUAUCGGCCAAGUCCUAAAAAGUUUUGAGGAUGAAAGAAAAAAAAGGGAACAGAAAAGAAAAAAAAAGAGGUAUUCAGUAACCAGAUUUGCGGAUGAACAGGAGUACAGUAAAAAUAUAAAAGAAGGAUGGUAGGCUGACCUCAGGAACGAUGAAGUUGAUGGUCAUUUCUUCCCGAGGAAGAGGAGAGGUCAAAGACUUGGAAGAUUGGUGGAGGAGGCCCUUGCUGGAGUUCUUGGAGUUCUUAGGCAAUGCCACCGCCAGGAAGGUGGAUUUGGGGCUGUAGAAUGAUGGGAUGGAGAAAGAGUACGGGAGAAGGAAGUAUUUGUAGGACAAAACGGGCAGGGGCAAAUCUGACUUAUCUCUUUGCCGCAUCCGUAAAAUCUGAGGGUGUUCAGGUGGAUAUGGUAACUGUUCGCACAAUAAUCAAGGGAUUGCGCAGAUGAUUUGACAGCAAGCGGUCAUGAUUUUGAAGAUUUUUUUUACUGUGCAAGAUCGUCUGGUCGGCCCAUCGGCAGUUUUCUAUAACGGUAAUAUUGUUGAUGAGCGCAUAAGUGGGUAGGUUCGAUUCGAGAGGUUGAGAAAUUUGAGGAAUCUACAGGAGAAUCGGGUCAAGGUUGUUCAUAUCUAGCAGCUGAUUACCAAAUUGGGAGAAGUAAUUGCGGAAAGGCGUCAUUACUGCAGAGAAUUUUGGAGCAUUAAUGAUUUUAUACUCCGAAAUUGGGGGGCAUGUGUUGACACCAUUUUUAGACACGUAUCUUUCGAUACGCACUUGGAGUUAAUGGGAUGUAGAUCGGCAGGUGGAUCAAUGGUGACUAGUCUACAGGGGAGUCGCCGAUGAAGGUGGUUGCCGUUGAGGAAACAACCGAAUAUGACCAAGCCCAGAAGUGGUGACAUAUUCGUGCCGAUGACCAGUGCCGGUGUUUGCCGAUGGCUGUAACAGGUAGUCUGCCGAUGACUAUGAAGAAAAGCGCGGAGGUUGCCGAUUGAUUUGUGGCAGUUUCCCGAUCGAUUACACGGGAUAGUUUAAUGUUUUCCUUAGUUAUUAAGAUUCGUUCUGUAUACGAGUUCCGUUUAAUUUGGAACUCGAGUCCUAGUCGUGUCUGGUUGUAGCUCUUUGGACAGGGUAUAAAUGUAGACCCUAGGGCAAUGUAAUGAACAAUCUAUCAAUCAAUCAAUGAAUCACAAGUUUUUACUCAUAUUCCAGCAUCUUCUUUUUUCGACGACUUCAUCAUAUUUUCUUUUUACUACGAGUUCUUAGGAAUUCGUCAAGUCAAACUCGGCGUGUUCUCAAGUUCCGCGUGAGCACCUCUUGGCCGUGACAUCCGGGCGCAUCGCUGUUGUCGGGACCAAAGUGUUCGAGUUACCACCUUUGUCGAUUGUAAGGUCAAAUCGGCUGGCACGACUUAACGUUUGAAUCGGGUAUUAGCCCUUUGUGUUUGCAGAUCAGCUUUUGCACCAACAAUAAGUUUUUCAAAUAAAACUCAGAGAUUCCUUGUCCGACCCUUUCUAGUCUCUCAUAUGUGGUUUUUUUAAUCCUCUCCAUGGCAAGUGAAUAUGCCUUCUCUCAGAAUAUGGUAUUUGUAGGACUAAGGCAUUGUCUUCUCUCUCUCACCCUACUUCUAGUAGGCUUAUGUGGAGUUUAUAGGUGGGAGAGACAAUUCAAACCUACUUGGAUGUAUUGCAUAGUUAAACCAUGGAUCUAGAGAAACUAAUUAUACAAUUAAGUCAUAUGUGCAUGUGAGUGUAGUGAAUGAAAUAAAUGAUGAUAAUAGUGAAGGGUGAUGAAUGAUGGUGAAUAUCUAAUUCUACAAUUGCUCCUUGGGGACAACAUACCUCCCUAAUCUGAGAAUAAGGAUUUAGCUGCCUAUCUUUUCUUUUGGUUUGGGACUUUUGUCCUCUUUCUUUUCCUUUCUCUCUCUUCUUUUUUCUUUUCUUUUCUCUCUCUUUUUUUAGAUCAGCCAACCCUUUUAAUGCACUAAUAGCAAUAGGGAGUAUCAACAGGAAUAACUAGAGCUUUAUUGGAUAAGUAGAAUAAGACAUAAUGAAUAUUUUUGGGCGUCUUCUCCUAGUGUAGGAGUAGAACAUUUUUUGAGUGGAUGUAGAAUGUGGAUGGAUGAAUGCAUACUCCUAGGGUAGGAGCAGCAUAAAGUCUAGUGCUGUUGAUGCAAAAACGUAUCUGCAAACACAAAGGGCUAAUACCGAUUCAAACGUUGAGGCGUGUGUUGGCAGUCAUUAUAGACCAAUCAUAAACUGCCAACUUGAUCCAAAAGGAGAAGAAGCAAUCAUAUUAUAUACACACAUGCAUUUUAUUACUAACAAGUUCCAUUGUACCAUAGUGAUUAUAUUUUGUAGGAAUUAUAAUGCAACAAGUGGAAAUGUGCCAUACCACGAAGAAAGCGCAAAGUACCAAAAGACGUAUUCAGAAAUGCGCAAACCAAGAAAAUAGAGGAAGGCCCAAACAACGCAGAACCGGGCCUGAUCGUAACCACGAGAGAGAUCCAGGCCCAGAGCCAAACCGACCAUGCGAAGGCGGUGGCUAGGGGGACCCACCCAGGGUGUGGCCGCACCCUGGUGCGGGCGCACCCCUGGAGGCGGCGAGUCGGGCCCAUCUUUCUCAGGCGGUUGCAUGCCGCCAUGCAUAGGAUGGUUUCACCUACUACCAAAUUUAGAUGCGACGAACCAUCCUAGUUCCACUAUAAAAAGAGAGGCACUCCCCCCUUUUCAACACACACAUCAUUUGGAGUCAAUUUACCUCACACCUCUCACUUGUAUCUUUAGUCUAGAUUAGUAGUAGAGCAAGGCAAGAGCUAGCAAGGAGAGCUUGUCUCCUUGGAAGAAAGGAUCUUCUUGGUAUGAAUAAUAUUCAAUCUUCUUCCAUGAGCAAGUUCUAUUCAUCUUUAUAUGAUUAUGCAUAUGAACUAGAGUAUGGUUGUGUUUUUAUCAUUUUCAUAGUAUAUGAACUAGUUCUUAGUUCUUGUGCUAUGUUCUUGAUAUGUUCAUCAAUGUUCUUCAUUGUUCAUCAGAUUAGUAUGGUUAGGACUAGAAUUAGGAAUGUCAUGAUGGUUCACCAUGUUGUGAUGGUUGCUCUUAGCCUAGCCUGUCACUCCGAAGGGGUGGGCCCCACGGGGGUUACGAGUUGUUUCCAAUUACGUGAACAUGGUGUUCAGGUAUGCGGGAAUCAGUGGAUGUACGGGUAUCUUUCGGGUAGAGGGGUAGGUGGUAGGGUAGUGACAGCUCUGUCAUCCUUUGCAUUCCCCAACGAUCAGGUAUUCUAAUAGGAGUUCUAUAAAGUCUCUAUCAGCUGGGUAUCCAGCUGCGGGGAUCUCCCCUCAUCUCAGACUUAGUUCUAACUCUGUUUAUUGCUAAUUAGAUGAUCCGCUAACAGUUCUAUGCAUAGUUAUAUGUGACCCAUGCUUGCUCAAGUAGAUUUAUUUCUUUAUUCUUUAUUUAUUAUUUCUCUUCUAUUUUAUCCUUGAGGUUGAUCCAAUAUGUGUCCACUAUCUUGAAUAUCAUGUUUAUUCCUGUUUACUCUGUGUCUACCAAGCAUUCAAUAAGUAAUCAUGCUUACUGUUGAUGGUCCUUAAGUAUCAAAUUUAAUCAUGAAAUAAACAAAGAAAAGGAUCGAUAUGCAAUCGACAUCCAGACUUAGGGUUUUAUCUAACAGAAUUCCAUGAGUUUUGGUGUUUGUCUAUUUCUGCAGAGGGUUAUCAGGAAUUAUGGAAGAAAGGCCCACACGUUGGGUUUACAUAGAGAUAUUAACGUGCCGCGCAAUUAUCCAACAUCUAGAAGAGUCCAGAAGCCACGGGAACAAACGGGAGACCGAACGGGCCUGGGGGAAGGGCGCCCACCCUGGCCUAAGGGCCAAUCACGCUCCACCUCGUGGAUCAUGCUCCACCGACCUAAAGGAUCAAGGAAAACCGUGCGAUUAAUGUCGAUUUGAUCCGAUGGCCCAUAUUCAUUUGGAAGGACUAUAAAAGUAGACCCCCUGGCCCCUGGAGGAGAGCACAUCUGAAACCCUAAUUCAUUUAUCCAUCUCGGGAGAAGAAGCCUCUCAUCAAGCCCUAGAGCCACCACAUCAAUAGAUCUCUAGUUUAGCAUAGCUAUAUAGGAUUAGAACUAGAAGGAGUCAAUCUUCGAUUGGUUUCCGGAUCUGUCAAGAGGAUUCUUGGUAAUUCCUCUACUGUUCUUAUUGUUCAUCAUUGUUCUUUGAUAUUAUGAAUAUGACUUUGUUCUACUUCAAUAUAUUGAUUAUGACUUUGCUCUACUUGUUUAUAUUUGAAAUUAUAUUGUUCUUAGUUUAUCAUAGUUAUAAGCUUGGCUUAGUUAGAUUGGAAUUAUAUACAUGUUUAGGAUCGUAUAGCAUUUAUCCAUGUGUACAGUGGGUAAAUGAUAAGUAUUGUGUAGGCGUGGUGCCUAUACCGUAUUUAUCUGCGAUUGUACCCUAUAUGCCGGAUCGCGGGAUAGUUCGUGGUGGUGACAGCUCCAUUGAUUCUUAUAUAGUCCCCCUCUCAUGUAUAGGGUAGGCAGAGCAACAUUAUUACAGGGGAGUGAUUGCUAUGUUUCUCAUUUUUCUUGAUAAUAUCACUAUGCAUGGGCGUAGUCCUGUCUCGCAAUGAUUGCCAAGUAUAAUUGCACUAACUAUGAUAUGCUAGACUUUUUAGUUAAGAAUAACUUAGGAAAUAUUCUUGUAGUUCAUCCUAAUUCCAUGCUAAUGACUUGCUAGAAUAUCUAUUGAGGUGCUUAUCAUAUUUAUAUGUGGCUAGUUAUGCUGAUCAGAUUAAUUAUCUUUGUCACCAUUCAUACUUUAUCUAUAUUUUAUGUGACACUUAUCCCUGUAUGAAAGAGAUAGAUAGAUGCUCUCAAUUAUAAAUGCAAUGAUAGAUACUCAAUUCUAUAUUCCAUUCCAUAAUCAACAUUGAUGAUUAGAAAUCUCUUCCCAGUGGUAAAAAUAUAAAUAACGAUACCUGGAAUACUUCCCGGUUAAAAUGCUACAUCGGUAUUAAUCUGUGCGCUUGCAGAUCUCAUUUAUUAUUCAUUCAGAAGAGCAAUUGCAUGUUUCAAUACCCCGUCUCUCAUGUCAUGCUGGGGAUGACAACUUGGCUUAAGUGGCAUGAGGGAUAGGUUUGGCAUUUUUGGCGUCGUUAUCAGAAUUAGAAAACUAAGUCUACUUUUGGUAGUGACGUUAAGAAUGCCCAACAAGCAUUUUUGGCGCCGUUGCCGGGGAAGGUUGAUUACUAAUCAGGAAUGAAUAUGGAAUUUUGAGUCAUCAUUCGCAUCACUUAUAUGAUUGAGAUUAUCAAUUCUCUCAUACAGUUUUACCUCGGUAUUUUUCUAUUUUCCUUCAUGUAGGGUGAUGUAUGAAUAGAAGACAUCUUCUAGGAAAUUUUGUUGACAACCCCGAAGCAUUAUUCAGAAAAACAAGAGCCAAGCUCAAGAAGGCAUCGUCAACACUUCAGCACGAAGCUUCAUCCAACCAAGAAGAUCGCCGAAGUUUCAUCCGGAACUUGUCUUCAGAAUUUGAAGUCAUGGCGAACAAAUCGAUCCGUGAGUUCUCAGCUCCCACUACGGAGAACAUCCCUGCUGUAGAGAUCGACGACAACUUUGAGCUCAAGCCUGGACUUAUCAACAUGGUGCAAUCCAACCAGUUCUGUGGGAAGGCACACGAAGAUGCUAGUGCUCAUCUCCAACACUUCCUGGAGAUUUGCAGCACAUUCACCAUAUCAGGAAUCCCCAGAGAUGCUAUACUACUUCGCCUCUUCCCAUUCUCACUGUUGGGGAGAGCGAAGCAGUGGUUCUACGCUACCAAGGAGAAGAAUACUACGUGGGCACUCUGCUCUACGAACUUUCUGACUAAGUUCUUUCCCAUGGGCAAGACCAAUGCUCUCCGUGGGAAAAUUACAAGUUUUCUAGAACAACAUGAUGAAUCUGUUCUAGAAGCAUGGGAGCACUUCCAAGACUACAUCCUAGAAUGUCCCCAUCAUGGAAUGGAGAGCUGGCUACUGAUGUAGACGUUUUAUCAUGGGCUCAGCAAUAGUGCCCGUGAAACCAUGGAUGCUACAGCUGGAGGAGCAUUCCUAUCACUCACCAUACCACAAGCCACAGCUCUUGUGGAGAAGAUGGCGUCCAAACAAGGCUGGAAUGAAGAAAGGACCCAAACACGCAAGAGAUGUGGUGGUAUACAUUAGCUCAAGGAGGUAGGCAUGCUGUCUGCUAAGCUAGACCUGCUCAUGAAGAAGCUCGAUGAUAGAGCUAGAGAUAAGAAAGAAGUCAUGCACGUCUACGACUCUCACAUGACUUGUGAAGAGUGUGGAGAUACUGGACACUCAGGCAAUCACUGCCCUGAGAUGCUUGAGGACGUGAACUACAUCAACAACAACAACAACAAUUACUACAACCGUCCUCAACAAAAUCAAGGUUGGAAUCAACAGAGGCCUAAUGACUCAGGUAAUCACCAAGGUAACAAUUCUUACAAUAAUAAUAAUAAUUUUACACCUCUGAGAGUGUUAGUGUCUAAUCAAGGAGAGCUAAUAGAUAACCUAUCUAAGAAAUUGGCAUCUAAUGAUAAAAUGCUAGAAAAUAUAAAUAAUAGAAUGGAUAAUUUCUCUACUACCAUUAAGAAUCAAAUUAGCUUUAAUAAAAUGAUUGAAUCUCAGUUAAAUCAAAUAGCUGUUGUUGUUCCUGCUACUAACCCCAGUAUACCAUCACAACCAGAAGGAUUAGAAUCUGCAAAUCUUGUAGACAUGUUUGAUACCGGUAACUACUAGAGUAACCCCAUUGCGGAAGUUACUACUGACCUUCUGCCGGUCAAGAGAGGCGAUCCAGGAUGCCCCGUCAUCCUGAUCUCCAUCGGCAUGGUGGACAUCCCAGAAGCACUCUGUGACUUUGGCUCUAGUGUCAACAUUAUGCCCAGGGUACUCUAUGAAAAAAUCUUUACAUAUCCUUUAUUAGAAACAACCAUGUGCUUGCAGCUUGUAGAUCGGACACUAAGUUUCCCCAAGGGAAUAUUGAAGAACCUCUGCGUCCGAGUUGGUACCUUGUACGCCCCAGCAGACUUCGUGGUGAUAGAGAUCGGUAAUGAUGAGAGGGCACCCGUCAUCUUAGGGAGGCCAUUCUUGAACACCUCGGGAGUUGUCAUCUACGCCAGUGCUACCAAGAUCAGUUUCUACAUCAAAGGGAGAAAGGAGACAUUUUCCUUCAAGAACAUGACUACACAAAUCCCAGAGCAAUCCCGACAUGCACCAAGGAAGAGGACCAACAGGAGGAACAGGAACAAGCAAGUGUGGACCGAGUCAGCUAAGAUGGUCACUGCAGUUCAAGGAGGUCAAGAUCAUCGACUUAAGUCACUGUUUCUGACCAAGAAGGACGACCCAGGUAUGCCAAGCAUCCACUGCUCCAUUAAUGGAUACAACUUCUACAAGACGAUUUGCGACACCGGAUCGGGUGUCAACAUAAUGGCCGCAGUCACCUAUCGGCUCCUGUUCGGAACCAUGCCCCUAAAACCGACAUACAUUCAGCUCCAGAUGGCAGAUCAGACAUUUUGAGAGGUUGAAGGUAUAGUAACUGAUGUCCCUGUCAAAAUAGACGAUCAUUUUGUCCAUACAGAUUUUUAGGUUAUUGACAUGGGAGAAGACGAAUACGAUCCACCCAUCAUCCUUGGGAGACCGUUCCUCAGCACCGUUAAAGCAAUCAUCUACAUUGGAACUGGAGAAGUCCACAUGCACUUCCCCAUAGAGAAAGUACGCCGCUAUUUUACUGACCCUAACUAUAUAGUUGAAGACUCUAAGCAGGUCAGGACAAGAAGAAGACGACGCAACCGCAAUUAGAAAAGGCAAAUCAUCAAGGACGGAUGGGCAGACUACGAAGAAGCAGUGGUAAGGUCUGAAGACAUACAGCUUGAAUAGAAUUAUCCAGUGGAGACCGUAGCACCGAGUCAGGUGUGGAGAGAGAAGAUAGAUAUACACGAAGAGGAGGCGCCACCGGAAGCACCGACUACACCAUCCAACGAAUCUCAGGACGACUAAGAAAAUGAGAGUCCUGUUCGGAUGACUUAAAAACACCGAUCGCCUUGCCAAGAGGUAAACUUGGUAGUUAUCUUUUUCUUUCAAUUAUUUCAAAUAGUUUACUUAGUUAAUCACAUUCGUACUAUCCUGGAAAGAAAAUAAAAAAAAUGUUAAAACCAGUAAGCCCCAUGUAAGUAUACGAGUGGCAUAAAACCCAUAAGUACAUUCACUGUGGUGGCAUAAAAAUAAAAUAAAUAUUUUUUCUGCUCUAUAAAAUGAAAAUAUAAAAAUAGAGAGUAACAUUUAUUGAGGAGGCUCAACAUGAUAAAGGCUAGAUAUUUAUGCUAACACCUAAUCAGUUCCACAAAGCUUUGUUAUCUAUUUGAGCUCCACAGAAUUCAAGAAUCAAGAAGACUAGCAGACGGAGGACAUCCUAAUCGCUGUCAGGGUGCUGUCGACUUUCAAAUACACCUCCACCACCUGCUAGCUACAUCAGAAGAAAUUACGUCAAAAUCCAGCUUGGGGGAGAGCACCCCCAUUUAUCCCGCUAAGUAUUUCUAUCUACAUUUAUACUUAUACUAUAUUAAAAUAAAAAUAUACAUAACCAUGAAAAACCAAAUAAAGAUUUUUGUGCUUAUAUAUAUCUUUUGCUUAGUGUGCUUAAUAAAUAAAUAAAGUGGCUAUGCUAAACUAAAUCUUAAUAAUAAAACUCUAGCAUGGAUAUGAUGAGUAGUUGCUCUACCUAAUUUUCAAAUUUGAAAUUCUCUCUCUAGUUUAGACAUAACCGUUAUAAUUUAAAGUUUGCUCUAAACCUGAACUUGUGGGAAGAAAACUUGAUCUGAAGUCUAAGUUGUUAACGGAUAUGAUAUGGGAAGGUUGAGCUGCUGUUUAUCUGUUCCUAGAGAUGCUAAAAUUCUAGAGAAUUUUAUCUUUAGAAAAACUUUAAAAUAACACAUGAUGAGUUCCUGUAUGAUGAGAGUUUAAAUUCCUGCCACAGCCAUAUAUAUACAUGCUUGCUAGACUUUGAGCCACACAGUUACUUUUUACUGCUUAUGAGCAUUAAGUGUGGUCAAGCUGUGUAGACCCUUAGGAGCUUGUCAAGUGGUUGAAUCAAGAUUCACUUGCACAUUAACUCACACAUGCUGCUUCUACUCCAGAAGUACACAUCCACAUAUAUCCACCCAUUUCCAUCUCCAGAACCACCCAAAAGUAUUCUACUCCUAAUCCGGGAGAGAAUAGCCAAAAACAUUCUCCUAUUUCUAUUUUUCCCUGUGAAAUAAAUGCUCGAGUUAUCUUGGUUACUACCACUUGCUAUAUCAUUUCAGGAGAUGAGUGCUCUAAAAAAAGAAAAAAAAGAGAGAGAAAGGAUACGAGGAAAUAAAAAGGGGCAGGUGCCCGGAACCUCGAAAGAAAAGAAAAGAGAGACGAGAGGUAAAAAUGGACAAGUGUCCGACAAUAGAAUUAGGGGUACAAGAUACCCACCUAAGAGGAAAGAAAAAGAAAAUGUAGAGCAUCUCAUUCUCCUCAAAAGUCUCAAAGAGCAAGAAAGGUAUGUAUCCCCUCAAAAGUGCAAAAGUAGAAUUAGACUUUCACCAUUGUUAUCACCAUCAUCACCAUACACCAUUCAUUCGCCACACAUGCACAUCUUGAUUUGACUUAUUGACUUGUUUCUCUGGAUCCAUGGUUUAACUAUACAAUAAAUGUCUUGUAAGUAUGUAUACUUUAUCUCCCACCUAUGAGCUCCAGAUAUCAAAGCCUUAUUAGAGUAGGAUGAGAGAGAAGGCAAUGUCACUAUGCCUUAUACCACAAAAACAACAUAUUUUGAGAGAAGGCAUGUACCAUCACUGCCUUGGUAAGGAUACAGAAAUACCACAAAAGUGAGAUCUGAGAGAGUCAUACAUGGAAUCUCUUAGUUUCAUUUAAAAAUCUGCAAAAAACCCUAGAGCUAUAGCUGAUCAAGAAUACGAGACAUGGCGCUUGACUAGACCAUUCUAUCUCUUAACUGCUCAAGACAGAAGUGACGGUUACAAGUCCCAUGGUGAAAGGGAAAAUGUGUAAGUUUUUAGUCUUGACGGUUUACUCUGACUCAGAGAUGAGACCUCAUUUAAAAGCAUGUGUACUGUCAACUUUUAAAGGCAUUACACAACUUCUGAUCCAUCACUGAGAUUAUCCUUGCUCAGAGACGAGCAAGAGGUAUGCUUGGGGGAGUUGUUGAUGGUCCUUAAGUAUCAAAUAUAAUCAUCAAAUAAAGAAAGAAAAGGAUCGAAAUGCAAUCGACAUCCACACUUAGGGUUUUAUCUGACAGAAUUCCAUGAGUUUUGGUGUUUGUCUAUUUUUGCAGGGGGUUAUCAGGAAUUAUGGAAGAAAGGCCCACAUGUUGGGUUUACAUAGAGAUAUUAACGUGCCGCGCAAUUAUCCAACAUCUAGAAGAGUCCAGAAGCCACGGGAACAAACGGAAGACCGAACGGGCCCGGGGGCAGGGCGCGCGCCCUCCUCCCUUGGGCGCCCGCCCUGGCCUGAGGGCCAAUCACGCUCCACCUCGCAGAUCAUGCUCCACCAACCUAAAGGAUCAAGGAAAAUCGUGCGAUGAAUAUUGGUUUGAUCCAACGGCCCAUAUUCAUUUGGAAGGACUAUAAAAGCAGACGCCCUGGCGCCUGGAGGAGAGCACCUCUGAAACCCUAAUUCAUUUAUCC
rnacentral:lncRNA from 1 species